AUUGAACGCUGGCGGCACGCCUAACACAUGCAAGUCGAGCGGUAGCAUGGUUAGUAGCAAUACUAACUGAUGACGAGCGGCGGACGGGUGAGGAAUACGUAGGAACCUGCUCUUGAGCGGGGGAUAACCAAGGGAAACCUUGGCUAAUACCGCAUAAACUCGAGCGAGAAAAGCUGCCAGCAAGGGUGGCACUUGAGGAGGGGCCUGCGUCCGAUUAGCUAGUUGGUAGGGUAAGAGCCUACGAAGGCGAUGAUCGGUAACUGGUCUGAGAGGACGACCAGUCACACUGGGACUGAGACACGGCCCAGACUCCUACGGGAGGCAGCAGUGGGGAAUAUUGGACAAUGGGGGCAACCCUGAUCCAGCGAUGCCGCGUGAGUGAAGAAGGCCUUCGGGUCGUAAAGCUCUUUAGGUUGGGAAGAAGAGUAUGUGUUUAAUAGACAUGUACUUUGACGGUGCCGACAGAAUAAGCACCGGCAAACUCUGUGCCAGCAGCCGCCGUAA
rnacentral:rRNA from 1 species